UAUCUCUGGCUUCUCGUCAAUAGGGCAAAUCUUUCGCCUUUUACUAAAGAUUUCCGUGGCGAGGAGUAGUUAAUGAGUCUAUAGACCAAUUUUUGAAAUCCUGUCUUCGGAUGGGAU
rfam:Strigamia maritima strain Brora ctg7180001232611, whole genome shotgun sequence.